UAUAAAUAACUUUCAGACAUUUGUAGUUUUUCAGGUUGUAGCGUGACAACUUUGAUCAAAAUUUGUUUCAGUUGACUCUACAUUCCAUUCGUUGAUUUUGUGUUCUUAACUGAAAGCAGAGUUUGUUGAUGUAAGUGACUUGGAUUAGUAUUCUUCUCUUUGCUAUGCUAAUAUUCACCUUGCUUCAGUUGACCCCACUUUCCGUUCAUUGAUUUUGUGUUCUUAACGGAAAGCAGAGUUUGUUGGUGUAAGUGACUUGGAUCAGUAUUCUUCUUUUUGCAUAUGCUAAUAUUCACCUUUAACAGCUGCUAAAGUAUCAUGGCAUUAUAUCAAACUCUGCUCUUCCCAAAUUUUCCAGGCCUGAAGAGAGGAAGUAGGCCGGCGGCAAGGAUCCAGUGACGAGCGCCUCCGUAGCGCAGAUACUUUGGAUCUAUGUGCUUUGGCCAAAUUGGUCGAGCCUGAGACUGAUUAGAAGGACAGAUGGGCCUGGAAGAUACACCAGAAACAGAAGAAAAAGUUCUCAAAAUUGCGAAAGAGCGAUAUAGAGGCCGGUGAUCAACUCUAAGCUCCACUUACAAGGCAUACAAAACAGAUGCAGCUAGAUUGGCUAAUCUGCCGGAAGAUUUACAACUGGAAGAGUGAAUGGAUGAUUGAGUACUUUGGCACUGAUUCAAAAUUUCAGGAACACAACCGAAAGAACACCGAUAACCGUAAGAAACAGAAGACAAAACACAGAAUUAGAUCAAAAUCUUACUCGCAACUAAGUUUUGAUAAGGAUCCAAAGAACUAGCUCGACUGGACUCUAAUCACGGACAAUUUAGUCUUGGCACUUAAUUGGGAUGGCUAAAUUACAUUUGAGUUUCAUUUGAUGGAUAUUUACUAUGAGAAUUAUGAAUUUUAUUAAUCUACAUAUUAUACAUAUGGUUUUGAAUAUUGUAA